AGCUAAGAAGGAACCGGUGCCACAGGAAAAGGAUGUGACGAAGACCAGGAGGGAAAGUGAAACCCUUCCGUCCUGGCUUCAAUGGGGAACAAGUGCCUGUGCCAGACGAGCCCUUCCUUCCCCUGGGGUGACUCUAGAGGGCCCAGGCCCACUGCUUCCUUCCUGUUUGGUUAUUUCGGGAAAGAGUCCACCAGCCCCUCAAGGUUUAGAAUAGCAAGAUGCCUGAGAUGACGCCAGGAGAGCUAAAGUACUCUGUUUGUAGUGGAUGAUGCUGAGCCCGAGGCUACCUGGACGUCUGCUCUUCACAGUCGACACCCAGAGCCCCACAAGAAACUGCAGAAGACUGCUACCACUAUGACCACCAGAAGACCCAGAAGCAACUCACUGUCCCAUCUGAUGCGGCAGGUGGAGCACCCAGAAACAGAAUGUCAUAAUCUGUGGUUCAUAGAGAGAUGAGGCUGAGAUUUAGAAACGCUGAUGAGAAUCCCCCGAAAAGCCCCCUGACCCUUGCUUGGAGUCUGACAGUGUGGGUUCUGACCUCAGCACUGUGACUGCCUACUUGUGGGACCUGGGGCAAGGCCUUUACCUCUCUAUCUAAACUCACUGUCCUGUCUACAAGCAAGAACAAUGUACUUCAUAGGCUUGGCAGCGAGAAUGAAAUGGUUCAUGGAACGUGCUCAAUAAAUGCUACUGUUUGUUUAACAGCUAAAAA